GAUGAACGCUGGCGGCGUGCCUAAUACAUGCAAGUCGAGCGAACAGACGAGGAGCUUGCUCCUCUGACGUUAGCGGCGGACGGGCGAGUAACACGUGGAUAACCUACCUAUAAGACUGGGAUAACUUCGGGAAACCGGAGCUAAUACAGGCUAAUAUAUUGAACCGCAUGGUUCAAUAGUGAAAGACGGUUUUGCUGUCACUUAUAGAUGGAUCCGCGCCGCAUUAGCUAGUUGGUAAGGUAACGGCUUACCAAGGCAACGAUGCGUAGCCGAACUGAGAGGUUGAUCGGCCACACUGUAACUGAGACACGGUCCAGACUCCUACGGGAGGCAGCAGUAGGGAAUCUUCCGCAAUGGGCGAAAGCCUGACGGAGCAACGCCGCGUGAGUGAUGAAGGUCUUCGGAUCGUAAAACUCUUUUAUUAGGGAAGAACAAAUGUGGAAGUAACUAUGCACGUCUUGACGGUACCGAAUCAGAAAGCCACGGCUAACUACGUG
rnacentral:rRNA from 1 species